UAGGGAAUCUUCCGCAAUGGACGCAAGUCUGACGGAGCAACGCCGCGUGAGUGAAGAAGGAUUUCGGUUCGUAAAACUCUGUUGUUAGAGAAGAACAGCGCAUAGAGUAACUGUUAUGCGUGUGACGGUAUCUAACCAGAAAGCCACGGCUAACUACGUGCCAGCAGCCGCGGUAAUACGUAGGUGGCAAGCGUUGUCCGGAUUUAUUGGGCGUAAAGCGAGCGCAGGCGGUCAAUUAAGUCUGAUGUGAAAGCCCCCGGCUCAACCGGGGAGGGUCAAUGGAAACUGGUUGACUUGAGUGCAGAAGAGGAGAGUGGAAUUCCAUGUGUAGCGGUGAAAUGCGUAGAUAUAUGGAGGAACACCAGUGGAGAAGGCGACUCUGAGGUCUGUAACUGACGCAGAGGCUAGAAAGCGUGGGUAGCAAACAGG
rnacentral:rRNA from 1 species